AACGAACGCUGGCGGCAUGCCUAACACAUGCAAGUCGAACGAACCCUUCGGGGUUAGUGGCGCACGGGUGCGUAACACGUGGGAAUCUGCCCUUUGCUUCGGAAUAACAGUUAGAAAUGACUGCUAAUACCGGAUGAUGUCGUAAGACCAAAGAUUUAUCGGCAAAGGAUGAGCCCGCGUAGGAUUAGGUAGUUGGUGGGGUAAAAGGCCUACCAAGCCGACGAUCCUUAGCUGGUCUGAGAGGAUGAUCAGCCACACUGGGACUGAGACACGGCCCAGACUCCUACGGGAGGCAGCAGUGGGGAAUAUUGGACAAUGGGCGAAAGCCUGAUCCAGCAAUGCCGCGUGAGUGAUGAAGGCCUCGGUGUAAGCUCUUUACCUAGGAUGAUAAUGACAGUACCUGAGAAUAAGACUCCGGCUAACUCCGUGCCA
rnacentral:rRNA from 1 species